CAGAUCAAAUAUGUCUAAUGUGUAUAUUUUAAAAUAGGCUUAAAAACCGUGAAUAGGCGAAUAAUGAUAAAUAUUUUUUCUGCCUUACAUGAAGAAAAUGCACUUUUAAUCCUCUGCGUAAGAGCAAAAUAUCACUUUUUUUCGGAUUGUCUUGGUUGGCAUCGCUUUAGGUUGGGACAGGAUAGUCAGCGAACUAGUCGCGGAUGAAAGCACGGCAAACGGACUUGUAUCAGGUUCUUAAUACGGCAACUUUCUGUGCAGUAAGCUUCUACAAGACCGCGGAGAUAACUAUGGGAUAGAUCGUAACACACCGAAUUAAGUAUACAUAUUUUUACAUCUAUAGUAUACUAUACCGAGUAACACAGAAAGAAGGGAACACUUAAUAACUUUUUUACUUUUCA